UGAGGAAUNNUGNUCAAUGGGCGCGAGCCUGAACCAGCCAAGUAGCGUGCAGGAUGACGGCCCUAUGGGUUGUAAACUGCUUUUGUAUGGGGAUAAAGUCAAUCACGUGUGAUUGUUUGCAGGUACCAUACGAAUAAGGACCGGCUAAUUCCGUGCCAGCAGCCGCGGUAAUACGGAAGGUCCGGGCGUUAUCCGGAUUUAUUGGGUUUAAAGGGAGCGUAGGCCGGAGAUUAAGUGUGUUGUGAAAUGUAGACGCUCAACGUCUGACUUGCAGCGCAUACUGGUUUCCUUGAGUACGCACAACGUUGGCGGAAUUCGUCGUGUAGCGGUGAAAUGCUUAGAUAUGACGAAGAACUCCGAUUGCGAAGGCAGCUGACGGGAGCGCAACUGACGCUUAAGCUCGAAGGUGCGGGUAUCGAACAGGAUUAGAUACCCUGGUAGUCCGCACAGUAAACGAUGGAUGCCCGCUGUUGGUACCUGGUAUCAGCGGCUAAGCGAAAGCAUUAAGCAUCCCACCUGGGGAGUACGCCGGCAACGGUG
rnacentral:rRNA from 1 species